rnacentral:rRNA from 1 species
CCUACGGGAGGCAGCAGUGAGGAAUAUUGGUCAAUGGACGAGAGUCUGAACCAGCCAAGUAGCGUGAAGGAUGACUGCCCUAUGGGUUGUAAACUUCUUUUAUAAAGGAAUAAAACGAGGCACGUGUGCCUUUUUGCAUGUACUUUAUGAAUAAGGAUCGGCUAACUCCGUGCCAGCAGCCGCGGUAAUACGGAGGAUCCGAGCGUUAUCCGGAUUUAUUGGGUUUAAAGGGAGCGUAGAUGGGUUGUUAAGUCAGUUGUGAAAGUUUGCGGCUUAACCGUAAAAUUGCAAUUGAUACUGGCGGUCGUGAGUAGAGUUGAGGUAGGCGGAAUUCGUGGUGUAGCGGUGAAAUGCUUAGAUAUCACGCAGAACCCCGAUUGCGAAGGCAGCAUACUAAACUGUGACUGACGUUGAGGCACGAAAGUGUGGGUAUCAAACAGGAUUAGAUACCCGUGUAGUC